CUGUCCAACUAUAAGAUCUGAAUUGGCUUAGCCUUAGCUGUCGCACUGUGAAUGGUUGAACACGUAAACAAGAUACUAUUAAACCACCUUAGAGAUUAUCUGUUUAAAUAGCUUUAAAAUGUAUAUUUCUUGGAGUUUUGUACUCUUAUCGUUAUGCACAUAUCUGUUACAGUCAUGCACAGGACAAAUAAAAAGCAAGGGGCAGAGCUUAAGUGAAAGAGUGCAGCAGUUGACCGAGAUGAACUUGAAGCGAUCGGUGUUGAGGUUCAAUGGAGCAAAGUUCAGAGAGUUUGUGAAAACAACCCCGAGGAAUUACUCAGUUGUAGUAAUGUUCACAGCCAUGUCUCCUACAAGGCAAUGUUCAAUAUGUAGACACGCCAAUGAAGAGUUCAUCAUUGUCGCUAAUUCAUUCCGAUAUUCCCAAAUUUACUCUAAUAAAUUAUUCUUCGCAAUGGUAGACUUUGAUGAAGGUUCUGACGUCUUUCAGUUGUUGAGGCUCAACACGGCACCAAUAUUUAUCCACUUCCCAGCCAAAGGCAAGCCAAAGAACAGCGACACAUUUGACAUCCAGAGAGUUGGGUUUGCUGCUGAAGCCAUUGCCAAGUGGAUUGGGGAGAGAACUGAUGUACAGAUCCGAGUGUUCCGUCCACCCAACUACUCCGGCACCAUGGCUCUCGUGAUGCUGUUUGCUCUUGUGGCAGGUUUCCUCUACCUGCGCCGCAACAACCUUGACUUCCUCUACAACAAGAAUCUCUGGGGAGUCACUGCCGUUUUAUUUUGCUUUGCGAUGGUGUCUGGCCAGAUGUGGAACCAUAUCCGCAGUCCUCCCUUUGUACACCGCAGCCAAUCUGGAGGAGUUGCUUACAUACAUGGCUCUUCUCAGGGCCAGUUUGUGCUUGAGACAUACAUCGUCAUAAUUCUAAAUGGUGCAAUUGUCCUUGGCAUGAUCAUGAUGACAGACGCAGCAUCACGCAAGAGUGGAGAUGUGCGCGUGCGUCAGAUCAUCACAGUCGUGGGACUGGCCAUCGUCGCUGUCUUCUUCAGCGUCAUUCUGUCCAUCUUCCGUUCCAAGGCCCAUGGUUACCCAUACAGAUUUCCGUAUAUGUGAAGUCCUAAGAAGGUAGUAUUUUUGAUAGCCACAUUGGACAUUUUCUCCUGUUUUAAAGUUUCCUGUUCAAAUAGCUACUGGUGGAGUCAGUGUGAGGGAACAAUAUGUGAAGUUAUGUGUGUGUGAGUGGAAUCGGAAUUUUUGCACGUACAGUCGCAGCCUACGUAUCGAGCGACAUCCUACCAUUCACUACCGUUACAUGACUUGCAAGUGUUGUUAUUCUAGCUGUGGACUUAUUAAACAAUUGUUUGUAGAAUUAAGUGAUUUAAGUCUUACGUGUUUAGAUUUAGAGGUGUUGUUAUGGGCCUUUUUAAUAUAACGUUGGUUGAGAUAUAUAUGUUUGAGCAGAAUUCUUUAAAAAAUAAUUUUAGACAACUGAGUAGUGCUGAAAAUUGUGUACUUUACAACUGCUUGCUCUGUGGAGUUCUAAGUGCUUUUAAAUGUAAUUUGGCAGUUUCAAGAAAUGUUAUUGAAAACUGAGUAUUUAAACCUCGAACUGGCAGUUUAUUUUCCAUGGUAUACGUUUUUUUUAGCUAUUGAGAAUUAUGUUGUAGAGCUGUUUUAGUUAAAAAUUCAUCUUAUAUGUAUUUUAAUAAUUAAAAUAAAUUUAUUAAUAUGGACAUGAAAUAUAGAUGGAUUAAAUUUGUUUAUACAAUGUCAUAGGACAUUGUGUAUAACACAAAUUCCAAAAUAUCCAAGAGAAAUGGAAUCUUAUACCCUAUUAAACCUGACCUUCUUAAUCAAAAUUUGCUAUUUAACACUAAAUUCAACUAGUUCAUUAUAUAUGAGAUUAUUUGGAAUUUUUCCUCGUUUAAUUUGAUGUAUACACACUGAAAAUAUAUAAAAUUGUGAUACAAACUUUGAUUUGCUACUUCUGGUUGCUUACACAAUUUUAAUAUUAGAAACAAUUAUUUUAUUUUUUUAAAACUAAAUUAAAGUUUGUAAAAGACUUGUAAAAAAGUAGGAUAUUUUUAUUGUUUUGCAUAAAAACAAUUUGUAUACGUAUCUUAAAAAAUAUAGAGGAAUUUUUAUAUUUACAUUUUGAUUGCAUCAAAAUAUUAAUUUCAAAUUAAAAAUACAUAUAAAUGUUGGCUGUAUUGUACUAAUGAAGAAAGGUAUAAUAGUAUAUACUUUACAUCAAGAUCAUUAUUCUACAGAUUUUAAAGUUGUGAUAUACAACAAGCAAAACAUGCCUGCAAUGGUUUUGGAACUGCCACUUUCAGUGUUGAAGAUACAAAGAGAGUUUGAUAUAAACAUUACACUUUUUUAACCUCGGGGAAUUUUUUGUUGUACGUCCAAAAUUCUUUGUGUUAUCUCACCACUAUAGUUAAAAUCAGGCGUGUUGGAGAUUAAUAAUGAUCUGUAUUCCAAUUGUUGUGUAUUUAUCACAUUUUACUCUAGAUAUGUCAAUGGUUUGCAUUUCAAAAUAUUAAGAAAACAGGCAUAUGGAAUCAAUGCAGAAAAAUUGCAUUUAAUAAAAUCUAUCAAAUUAUUUAUUAAACAUCUUUCUAAAAAGUAGUUAAAAACAUGUUGCAUCUGAAGAUUAUAUACAUAAACAAAUAUCAUUAACUUACACCAUAGGACCAUUAUCAAUAAUUUUCCAACGGUCUGCAAGUGAAUUGUUAACAUAAUUGGCUGUUAUGGAAAUUAUAUAGCUUGAUGUAAGGUGUCAUUUUAAACCAAACAUAGUAAAUUGUCUCUAAAAUUGUUGGCAUACAGCAUCUACUGAAAAUAAAAUGUUUGCAGGGAAUUAAUUGUUAUUCUGUUAUAGUAUUUUUUAAUAUGUUUGCUGGAACAGACGGCCUAGCUCUCUUGUGACAAUACUUAUCUUUAAUCAAUUUAGACCUGCAGUGAAGGUUACAAAAAAAACGUAUAAGAUGUGCUUAAAAAAAGUCAAUUUCCUUAAGAACCACUAUUAAAAUAUAACCCAGCGGUGAUAGUGGUAUUGGUAAGACUGUAAUGCCAUAUGUACAGCUAGUGCCAGUUUGAGGAUUGAAUAAAAAUGUUGAUGUACUUAAAAUGAGCACGGUAUAUUAUUGUUGUAGUUAAUUUCACAGAUGUAGUGCAGUUUUACUCAUCACGCAAUGAGUAUUCCAAAUAUCACAAAAAUAUUUUAUUUAAAAAAUUGUGAGAAAUUUCAAUCUUUUUUUUCCUAUAAAAAAAUAAAAGGUAACUUGUAUUGUCUAUGUAUUCUCAAAAGAGAUACAUAUUGAAAUCACUUUCACAUAGUGUAACUGAUUAAUCUUUUCACAAUGUCUGUUGUUUUAAUGAAACAAUUACUCACCAGUAAAUCUGAGUUAAAUCUCGAACGUGUUAUCCAUAGUUUACUAUAAUAAAAGAAAACUAUUGUUUUACUAAAAUGAAAUUUAGAAAUAAAAUCACAAAUUCUAAAAC
rnacentral:misc_RNA from 1 species